UACGGGGGGGGCAAGCGUUGUUCGGAAUUACUGGGCGUAAAGGGUGCGUAGGCGGCUCUCUUAGUCGGAUGUGAAAUCCCUCGGCUCAACCGAGGAACUGCGUCCGAUACUGGCGGGCUCGAAUCCGGGAGAGGGAUGUGGAAUUCCAGGUGUAGCGGUGAAAUGCGUAGAUAUCAGGAGGAACACCUGCGGUGUAGACGGCUUACUGGACCAUCACUGACGCUGAGGCACGAAAGCGUGGGUAGCAAACAGG
rnacentral:rRNA from 1 species